rnacentral:rRNA from 1 species
UACGUAGGAGGCAAGCGUUGUCCGGAGUACUGGGCGUAAAGCGCACGCAGGCGGUCUUGUCAGUCUGUAGGGACAGGGCACAGCUCAACUGUGUCAGGCUUACGGAAACUGCAAGACUUGAGGGCUUCAGAGGGAUGGGGAAUUCCGGGUGGAGGUGGUGAAAUGGCGUAGAGAUCCGGAAAGAACACCAAAGGCGAAGGCACCAUCCUGGGG